CGGACCAUUAACUGCUAUACGCCCGACCCAAACAAAAUAAAUAAUACCGGUUCGGUAUAACUGAACCGUCGUCGUCAUAACAUCGUCUGCGGUUUCGUUUUGUUUUGGUUUCCCCAGCCGUCGGCGGCCCGUGUCCGCGGCGCGACUCGAAAGUUCGGCCGACCGGUCACCGCGACCGCGACCGUUUAAAUGAUCGAACGCGUCUCGUUUCGGACGUACGUUACGUUGCGAUUGUCCCGCCGUCGCUGUGAUGUGGCCGACGACUGCGAUAUCGACGGAAGCGAGGA